rnacentral:rRNA from 1 species
CCCUUAGACGUUCUGGGCCGCACGCGCGCUACACUGACCAGUGCAACAAGCAUCCGUCCUUGGCCGACAGGCCCGGGCAAUCUUUGAACGCUGGUCGUGAUGGGGAUAGACUUUUGCAAUUUUUGGUCUUCAACGAGGAAUUCCUAGUAAACGCAAGUCAUCAACUUGCAUUGAUUACGUCCCUGCCCUUUGUACACACCGCCCGUCGCUCCUACCGAUUGAACGUUCCGAUGAAUACCAUGGAUUGAGAGUCUGAAUGGGUUCGCCUAUUUCUGCUUCUCGAGAAGUGGAGUAAAUCUUAGCGUUUAGAGGAAGGAGAAGUCGUAACA